UUGACCUCGAAUCAGGUAGGAAUACCCGCUGAACUUAAGCAUAUCAAUAAGCGGAGGAAAAGAAACCAACAGGGAUUGCCCCAGUAACGGCGAGUGAAGCGGCAACAGCUCAAAUUUGAAAUCUGGCUCUCGGGCCCGAGUUGUAAUUUGUAGAGGAUGCUUUUGGUGAGGUGCCUUCCGAGUUCCCUGGAACGGGACGCCAUAGAGGGUGAGAGCCCCGUCUGGUUGGACACCGAUCCUCUGUAAAGCUCCUUCGACGAGUCGAGUAGUUUGGGAAUGCUGCUCUAAAUGGGAGGUAUAUGUCUUCUAAAGCUAAAUACCGGCCAGAGACCGAUAGCGCACAAGUAGAGUGAUCGAAAGAUGAAAAGAACUUUGAAAAGAGAGUUAAACAGUACGUGAAAUUGUUGAAAGGGAAGCGCUUGUGACCAGACUUGGGCUUGGUUGAUCAUCCGGGGUUCUCCCCGGUGCACUCUUCCGGCUCAGGCCAGCAUCAGUUCGCCCUGGGGGAUAAAGGCUUCGGGAAUGUGGCUCUCUCCGGGGAGUGUUAUAGCCCGCUGCGUAAUACCCUGUGGCGGACUGAGGUUCGCGCAUUCGCAAGGAUGCUGGCGUAAUGGUCAUCAGUGACCCGUCUUGAAACACGGACC
rnacentral:rRNA from 1 species